rnacentral:rRNA from 1 species
CCUACGGGAGGCAGCAGUGGGGGAUAUUGCACAAUGGGGGAAACCCUGAUGCAGCGACGCCGCGUGUGGGAAGACGGUCCUCUGGAUUGUAAACCACUGUCGCCAGGGACGAAGAUGACGGUACCUGCGGACGAAGCUCCGGCUAACUAAGGGACAGCAGCCGCGGUAAGACGUAGGGAGCGCGCGUUCUCCGGAAUUACUGGGGGUAACGGGAGCGUAGGGGGGACAGAAAGUUGGGUGUAAAAUCUACAGGCUGAAGCGGUAGCCGCCGUUGAAACUGCAGUGCUUGAGUGAAGUAGAGGCAGGCGGAAUGCCUAGUGUAGCGGUGAAAUGCGUAGAUAUUAGGAGGAACACCAGUGGCGAAGGCGGCCUGCUGGGCCUUUACUGACGCUGAGGCUCGAAAGUGUGGGGAGCAAACAGGAUUAGAUACCCCAGUAGUC